GAUGAACGCUGGCGGCGUGCCUAAUACAUGCAAGUCGAGCGAACAGACGAGGAGCUUGCUCCUCUGACGUUAGCGGCGGACGGGUGAGUAACACGUGGAUGACCUACCUAUAAGACUGGGAUAACUUCGGGAAACCGGAGCUAAUACCGGAUAAUAUAUUGAACCGCAUGGUUCAAUAGUGAAAGACGGUUUUGCUGUCACUUAUAGAUGGAUCCGCGCCGCAUUAGCUAGUUGGUAAGGUAACGGCUUACCAAGGCAACGAUGCGUAGCCGACCUGAGAGGGUGAUCGGCCACACUGGAACUGAGACAUGGUCCAGACUCCUACGGGAGGCAGCAGUAGGGAAUCUUCCGCAAUGGGCGAAAGCCUGACGGAGCAACGCCGCGUGAGUGAUGAAGGUCUUCGGAUCGUAAAACUCUGUUAUUAGGGAAGAACAAAUGUGUAAGUAACUAUGCACGUCUUGACGGUACCUAAUCAGAAAGCCACGGCUAACUACGUG
rnacentral:rRNA from 1 species